UUUGUAUUACGAGCGGAAAUUGUUACCAUUUUCGGCUCAAAAAUGGUAACAAUUUCAGCACGUAAUACAAA
rnacentral:miRNA from 1 species